rnacentral:misc_RNA from 1 species
CCGAGUGAGGGCCCUCUGGGUCCAACCUCCCACCCGUGUUUAUUUUACCUUGUUGCUUCGGCGAGCCUGCCUUCGGGCUGCCGGGGGGCAUCUGCCCCCGGGUCCGCGCUCGCCGGAGACACCUUGAACUCUGUCUGAAGAUUGUAGUCUGAGACAAAAUAUAAAUUAUUUA